ACGGGGGACACGUGAACCUUAUAAACUUGUUUAAACCCCAAAACGACACCAUGGGUUCACCCGAGUACUUUUAUAAUCCAAAAAUAUUGCUAAAUUAUUGUUCCAAAAUUCACUAAAAGUGCUUCUUAUUUGAAAACGAUGCCAAGCCAUUCCAAAAGCAUUGCCAAAUAAAAUACAAGUUUCUUAACAAAGUACAUAUACGUUUCAUUGAUGAAUAGAAACAUAUCAACAGUAAAAAAUUGAAAUGCCAGAGCCACAAUCAAAACAAACACAAACAUAUACGUGAAUCACCCAUUUUUGACUUCGUCCAUGAGGUUGUAGAGUGUACUCAUGAAUAAAUUAUAAGGUUUCGUAACAAAGUACAUAUAUAUUUUCUUGAUGCAUAGAACAAAUCAAGUCAAAAUUGAAACGCCAGAGCCACAAUCAAGACAGAUACAAUGAUUCAAUGAUAUAUGUGAAUCACCCAAUUUGGUCUCGUCCACAAGGUUAUAUAGUGUUCUCAUGAAUAACUCAUAAGAUUACAUCAAAGGAAAGUGAAAUUACAUUACAUUAAACAUCAAAGGAAAGAUAUCCGUAUACAUCUUUUCUUAUUCAGCACUUAUAUUUGUUUUAGGAAAUUUACGUUUGCAUAAGUCCAAAUAAGAGUGUCCAAAAGAACAAAAUGAGUUUGCGUAAAUCAUUUCCCUAGGUCAAUCCCGAUACUACUUAUCAACUCAAUGUCUUCUAGAUGAAAUAUAUGAGACGCUUAAAACAAUAAUCUUUGCCCUUGAUAUUAAACUAGAUUAGUUUAACAUGUGAAAUGUCCGUAAAGUAUCAUUAUAUAAUGAUUGGUUUUAGGGCACAUUUCCAACAAUCUCCCACUUGUACUAGAGCCAAUCAGCUUGGUCAUCAGUGAUGAUACCUCUUCUGUAGUCAUUUCAAAAAUGGCUAAAUAGUAGGCCUAGACAAUGGAUAUCUAUAUGUUAUCCAUAGAAGCAACCUUGAGAAUUACGACGUCACCAUUAUACAUGAUUCUUAAUCAUGUGGUUCAGUUUCUCAUUUGAGUUCGGAUCUUGAUGAGACCUUGAUUCCCUGGCUUGAGCUAUCGCCCCAUUAGUGUCGUAGUGUCGGUACACUAGAGACACUUUCUGGUUGGAGCCGAAUAGAGAGUUCAUAAAUGAACUUUCCUAUCCAAACAACAUUGUUUGUAAGCUUCUAUAUAGGAAUAUAUAUGCAUUCAUAAUGGAACACACUAGAGUUAUUACUUUUAAUGUUUCCAUCCAAAUAUCUCUUUAGUCAUAAUAAAAAGAUAUCUGAUUAUCUCUUCAUUCAUAAUGAAGAAACAUCCAAUGAUGGAUUAGAUUCAUAAUCUAAUACAUUU
rnacentral:lncRNA from 1 species